UACGAAGGGGGGCUAGCGUUGCUCGGAAUCACUGGGCGUAAAGGGUGCGUAGGCGGGUCUUUAAGUCAGGGGUGAAAUCCUGGAGCUCAACUCCAGAACUGCCUUUGAUACUGAAGAUCUUGAGUUCGGGAGAGGUGAGUGGAACUGCGAGUGUAGAGGUGAAAUUCGUAGAUAUUCGCAAGAGCACCAGUGGCGAAGGCGGCUCACUGGCCCGAUACUGACGCUGAGGCACGAAAGCGUGGGGAGCAAACAGG
rnacentral:rRNA from 1 species